CUCCAGCAACGGCUCCCCUACUCCGCGUGCAUCGUCUUUCAGCAGCCUUCUGUGCACCUGCGGGGAGAGUGGCCAGGAGAGAGUAUUGGCCCCACCGUCCACUCCAGCUCCAGGUGCCGCUGUCCCGGGUACAGACGAACCACCUGGGAACACCAGGCUGAGAAGUUCUGGUGCACUUCCUGCACCAAGGCUGUCUGUAGGCACAUGGGGGUGAAGGGCAGGUGUAAGCAUGCAGCUGAGCAGAGGGGACAUGGGUUCGAGCCCUGGUCCAGGAAGAUCCCACAUGCCACAGAGCAACUAAGCCCGUGUGCCACAACUACUAAACUGUGUUCUAGAGCCUGCAAGCCACAACUACUGAGCCCAAGUGCCACAACUACUGAAGCCUGUGUGCGUAGAGUCCAUGCUCCACAACAAGAGAAGCCGCCGCAAUGAGAAGCCUGCACGCCGUAAUAAAGAGUAGCCCCCCCUCCACAACUAGAGAAAAAGCCUGCACGCAGCAACAAAGAUCCAAUGCAGCCAAAAAUUUUAAAAAAUUAAAAAAUAAAAAGAUAGAAGACUAGAUGACCACUGAACCAUCCUACCUGCCCAGACUUUCCGUUAGAUGGAAAGAAACUUCCAUCUUGUUUUAGGCAUGGUUAAUUUGGGUAACUCUGUUACAGGAAGCAAAACUAUAUCCUAAUACAGUGACCCAGGUAUGCAGGUGUUCACCUCAAGGAGAAUCAUGUCAAAUGUGAGGCUUGCCGUUACCUGCCCCAUUCCCACCCUAAGAGGAAACGUCAACGAGAGGCCCCAGGAAACCCCACAAGCCUGAGCCCCUGUUCCCAGCCAGAUGCACCCUCAAAUAUCCACCCUAAGUUAGAACCACCCAAGCUCUAUCCAAGUGUGAACCUUUAAAUAUCC